rnacentral:rRNA from 1 species
CAGUCGCCGCGGGAAUACGAAGGGGGCUAGCGUUGUUCGGAUUUACUGGGCGUAAAGCGCACGUAGGCGGACUUUUAAGUCAGGGGUGAAAUCCCGGGGCUCAACCCCGGAACUGCCUUUGAUACUGGAAGUCUUGAGUAUGGUAGAGGUGAGUGGAAUUCCGAGUGUAGAGGUGAAAUUCGUAGAUAUUCGGAGGAACACCAGUGGCGAAGGCGGCUCACAGGACCAUUACUGACGCUGAGGUGCGAAAGCGUGGGGAGCAAACAGGAUUAGAGACCCCUGUAGUCCCUGUCUCUUAUAC